GAUGAACGCUGGCGGCGUGCCUAAUACAUGCAAGUAGAACGCUGAAGGAGGAGCUUGCUCUUCUGGAUGAGUUGCGAACGGGUGAGUAACGCGUAGGUAACCUGCCUGGUAGCGGGGGAUAACUAUUGGAAACGAUAGCUAAUACCGCAUGACAACAGUUAUUGCAUGAUAACUGUUUAAAAGGGGCAACUGCUCCACUACCAGAUGGACCUGCGUUGUAUUAGCUAGUUGGUGAGGUAACGGCUCACCAAGGCGACGAUACAUAGCCGACCUGAGAGGGUGAUCGGCCACACUGGGACUGAGACACGGCCCAGACUCCUACGGGAGGCAGCAGUAGGGAAUCUUCGACAAUGGACGGAAGUCUGACCGAGCAACGCCGCGUGAGUGAAGAAGGGUUUCGGAUCGUAAAGCUCUGUUGUAAGAGAAGAACGAGUGUGAGAGUGGAAAGUUCACACUGUGACGGUAUCUUACCAGAAAGGGACGGCUAACUACGUG
rnacentral:rRNA from 1 species